rnacentral:tRNA from 1 species
GACUUGAAAUCGGAGGGGUCAAAGUCCCUCUAUCCCC